rnacentral:siRNA from 1 species
UAGUUUUAGCCUCUUUUGGGACA